GCGGGUGUAGUUCAAUGGUAGAACUUCAGCUUCCCAAGCUGAUAGCGUGGGUUCGAUUCCCAUCACCCGCUC
rnacentral:tRNA from 3 species